UCCAGGGUUUAUCAGUGCCCUGAGGAAAAUCCCUGUUCUGGGAAACACAUCCUGGCUCUGUCAGUGGAAAUUAUCCACAGGAGCAACCCGGGUUGAGUAAUGUGGCAACUAUCAUCUUACCUCUAGCACUCCAGGAUGGCUCCUAUCUUGGAAAGUGUAUUGCAGCAUGGCAUUCUCCUGUACAAUGUAUCAGGGACUUCCUUCAGGCCUGUGACUGUGCAUUCGACCCACCCCUCCCACAGUCCUGGUUUACUUGGCAAAUCUUCCAUGGGCCGUGCCCCAUGGAGUGCUUCCAGAUGUUCCUUGAACUAAUGUUGAAAUGUGUAUUUUCCUACCUAAUUCUUUGGAAUAAAUUAAGCCAUGAAGUCAGAA